UGGACCUACGGGAGGCAGCAGUGGGGGAUAUUGCACAAUGGGGGGAACCCUGAUGCAGCGACGCCGCGUGGGUGAAGGAGCGUUUCGGCGCGUAAAGCCCUAUCGGCAGGGAAGAAGAUGACGGUACCUGACUAAGAAGCCCCGGCUAACUACGUGCCAGCAGCCGCGGUAAUACGUAGGGGGCAAGCGUUAUCCGGAUUUACUGGGUGUAAAGGGAGCGUAGACGGCCAGACAAGGCAGGAGUGAAAGCCCAGGGCUCAACCCUGGGACUGCUUUUGAAACUGCCGGGCUGGAGUGCAGGAGAG
rnacentral:rRNA from 1 species